rnacentral:rRNA from 1 species
GACGAACGCUGGCGGCGUGCCUAAUACAUGCAAGUUGAGCGCUGAAGGUUGGUACUUGUACCAACUGGAUGAGCAGCGAACGGGUGAGUAACGCGUGGGGAAUCUGCCUUUGAGCGGGGGACAACAUUUGGAAACGAAUGCUAAUACCGCAUAAAAACUUUAAACACAAGUUUUAAGUUUGAAAGAUGCAAUUGCAUCACUCAAAGAUGAUCCCGCGUUGUAUUAGCUAGUUGGUGAGGUAAGGGCUCACCAAGGCGAUGAUACAUAGCCGACCUGAGAGGGUGAUCGGCCACAUUGGGACUGAGACACGGCCCAAACUCCUACGGGAGGCAGCAGUAGGGAAUCUUCCGCAAUGGACGAAAGUCUGACCGAGCAACGCCGCGUGAGUGAAGAAGGUUUUCGGAUCGUAAAACUCUGUUGGUAGAGAAGAACGUUGGUGAGAGUGGAAAGCUCAUCAAGUGACGGUAACUACCCAGAAAGGGACGGCUAACUACGUG